rnacentral:rRNA from 1 species
GAUGAACGCUGGCGGCGUGCCUAAUACAUGCAAGUCGAGCGAACAGACGAGGAGCUUGCUCCUCUGACGUUAGCGGCGGACGGGUGAGUAACACGUGGAUAACCUACCUAUAAGACUUGGAUAACUUCGGGAAACCGGAGCUAAUACCGGAUAAUAUAUUGAACCGCAUGGUUCAAUAGUGAAAGACGGUUUUGCUGUCACUUAGAGAUGGAUCCGCGCCGCAUUAGCUAGUUGGUAAGGUAACGGCUUACCAAGGCGACGAUGCGUAGCCGACCUGAGAGGGUGAUCGGCCACACUGGAACUGAGACACGGUCCAGACUCCUACGGGAGGCAGCAGUAGGGAAUCUUACGCAAUGGGCGAAAGCCUGACGGAGCAACGCAGCGUGAGUGAUGAAGGUCUUCGGAUCGUAAAAAUCUGUUAUUAGGGAAGAACAACUGUGAAAGUAAAUAUGCACGUCUUGACGGUACCUACUCAGAAAGCCACGGCUAACUACGUG